rnacentral:rRNA from 1 species
UACGAAGGGGGCUAGCGUUGUUCGGAAUUACUGGGCGUAAAGCGCACGUAGGCGGACUGUUAAGUCGGGGGUGAAAGCCCAGAGCUCAACUCUGGAAUUGCCUUCGAUACUGGCAGUCUUGAGGACGGGAGAGGUGAGUGGAAUUCCUAGUGUAGAGGUGAAAUUCGUAGAUAUUAGGAAGAACACCAGUGGCGAAGGCGGCUCACUGGACCGUAUCUGACGCUGAGGUGCGAAAGCGUGGGGAGCAAACGGG